AACGAACGCUGGCGGCAUGCCUAACACAUGCAAGUCGAACGAGACCUUAGGGUCUAGUGGCGCACGGGUGCGUAACGCGUGGGAACCUGCCCUUAGGCUCGGAAUACCUCCCCGAAAGGGGUGCUAAUACCGGAUAAUGUCUUCGGACAAAAGAUUUAUCGCCCUUGGAUGGGCCCGCGUUGGAUUAGCUAGUUGGUAGGGUAAAAGCCUACCAAGGCGACGAUCCAUAGCUGGUCUGAGAGGAUGAUCAGCCACACUGGGGCGGAGACACGGCCCAGACUCCUACGGGAGGCAGCAGUGGGGAAUAUUGGACAAUGGGCGAAGGCCUGAUCCAGCAAGGCCGCGUGAGUGAUGAAGGCCUUAGAGUUGUAAAGCUCUUUUACCCGGGAUGAUAAUGACAGUACCGGAAGAAUAAGCACCGGCUAACUCCGUG
rnacentral:rRNA from 1 species